UACGUAGGGCGCAAGCGUUAUCCGGAAUUAUUGGGCGUAAAGAGCUCGUAGGCGGUUUGUCGCGUCUGCCGUGAAAGUCCGGGGCUCAACUCCGGAUCUGCGGUGGGUACGGGCAGACUAGAGUGAUGUAGGGGAGACUGGAAUUCCUGGUGUAGCGGUGAAAUGCGCAGAUAUCAGGAGGAACACCGGCGGCGAAGGCGGGUCUCUGGGCCGUAACUGACACUGAGGAGCGAAAGCGUGGGGAGCGAACAGG
rnacentral:rRNA from 1 species